GACGAACGCUGGCGGCGUGCUUAACACAUGCAAGUCGAACGGUGAAGCUCCAGCUUGCUGGAGUGGAUCAGUGGCGAACGGGUGAGUAACACGUGAGCAACCUGCCCCUGACUCUGGAAUAAGCGCUGGAAACGGCGUCUAAUACUGGAUACGAGAAGGGUCCGCAUGGGCACUUUCUGGAAAGUUUUUCGGUUGGGGAUGGGCUCGCGGCCUAUCAGCUUGUUGGUGAGGUAAUGGCUCACCAAGGCGACGACGGGUAGCCGGCCUGAGAGGGCGACCGGCAACACGGGGACUGGGAACGGGCCCAGACUCCUAGGGGGGGCAGGGGGGGGGAAUAUUGCCCAAGGGGCGAAAGCCUGAUGCAGGGACCCCGGGGGGGGGAUGAGGGCCUUGGGGUUGAAAACCCCUUUCAGCAGGGAAGAAGGGAAAGUGACGGUACCUGAAGAAGAAGCACCGGCUAACUACGU
rnacentral:rRNA from 1 species